rnacentral:rRNA from 1 species
AUGGCGAUGAGGGCGCCGGUCGACGACGCCAUGCGCGCGGUCUUCAUGCGCCUGCCGGCGGACGACCCCAGGAGCCUCGCCCGCGCCGCCGCCGUCUGCAGGAGCUGGCGCGCCAUCCUCUCCGACCCCGGCUUCGCUCGCGGCUACCGCGCGCUCCACAGGGGGCCGCCCAUGCUCGGCUUCCUCCACAACGAGUACCGCAACGGCAACCGCUUCGUCCCCACUUCGACCUUCCGGCGGCGGGCGUCCCAGGACCGCCCAGACUGCCAGGUCCUCGACUCCCGGCACGGCCUCGUCCUCCUCUACGCCCCUGCGUACGACCCCCCUUUUGAGACCCGCGACCUCGUCACCGGCGACUGGUGGGACAUCGACGACGACCCCAAGUGCCGCGACAUCAUGCACUGGCCGGGCGACGGCCCCGACGACUUCUUCAGCGGGACUUGGAUACGCUGUAAUGCCACGGUGCUCUGCGCCAAAGAUCGAUGUGGCCAUCUCGACUGCCAUGGCGGCGGUCCUUUCCUCGUGGCCUUGGUGGGCUCUGUGGAGGAAGGAGGCAUUGCCCUCGCCACUGUCUACUCGUCGGAGACUUGUCAGUGGAGCGACAAGAUCUCUGUUCGGAGCCCGGGUUUGCGCACUGACGACGGAGGGCACACUGCUGUGGUGGGAGAUAAGGUCUAUGUCCCCAGUUAUGAGUGUGACAGUCUCGUGGAGUUCAACAUUCGUGAGCAACAACUAUCUGUGAUCAAUGUGCCAGAGAACCUGGGCCAGGGAUUCCUUUACCUCAUCGGUGUGGAGGACGGCAUGCUGCUGUUUGCAUCCGUGCUCAAGCCUAGACUCUAUCUAUUGUCAAUGGAGGCUGGUCCUAGAGGAGCUGCGGCAUGGGCACGACGCAGGGUCGUCGAGCUCGAGCCAUUGCUCCCUCCCCGUGCCCUCUUGGACAUGUCGGAGUCGAACAUCUGGGCGGUUGGUUUUGCGGAAGGGGUUAGCGUCAUCUUCCUCAGAACACCGGCUGGGUGUUACGCAAUUGACCUUAAUUCAGGCCGAGCCAACAAGGUGGGUGAAUUUAGCAUUGAAAAGGUCAUGCCCUACGCGAGGUUCUGCACUGGAGGUACAUACAGACUAGUCAACAAGGUGCAUGAUGAACAGGGCAUUGAAAAGGUCAUCACCCCCAUGGCGAUGCCGCUGAGUCCGCCGCCGCUGGUUGACGACGCCAUGCGCGCGGUCUUCAUGCGCCUCCCGGUGGACGACCCCAGGAGCCUCAUCCGCGCCGCCGCCGUCUGCAGGGGCUGGCGCGCCAUCCUCUCCGACCCCGGCUUCGCCCGCGGCUACCGCGCUCUCCACGGGGCGCCGCCCAUGCUGGGCUUCCUCCACAACGAAUACCGCAGGGGCAACCGCUUUGUCUCCACCUCGACCUUCCGCCGGCCGGCAUCCCAUGACCACCGGGACUGCCACGUUCUUGAUUCCCGGCACGGCCUCGCCCUCCUCUACGCCCCUGGGUACCAUGCCCCCUUCGAUGUUUGCGACCUCGUCACCGACAACUGGCGGGAGAUCGACGACGACCCCAAGUGCCACGACAUCAUGCACUGGCCGGGCGACGACCCCGACGACUAUUACAAUGGCAGCAUACACUGUAAUGCCACGGUGUUCUGCGCCAUAGACCGAUGUGACCACCUCGACUGCCAUGGUGGCCCUUUCCUCGUGGCCCUGGUGGGCUCUGCAGAUGAAGGAAGCAUUACCCUCGCCACUGUCUACUCAUCGGAGACUCGUCAGUGGAGCGACAUGAUCUCCGUUCAGACCCCGGGUCUUCAAAUCGAUACCGGGGGGCGCACUGCUGUGGUGGGAAAUAAUAAGGUAUAUGUCCCCAAUUAUGAGGGUGACAGCGUCGUGGAGUACAACAUUCGUGAGCAACAACUGUCUGUGAUCAAGGCGCCAGAGAUCCUGGACCAGGGAUACCUUGACCUCCUGGGUGUGGAGGAUGGCAUGUUGCUGUUUGCGUCAGUGCGCAAGCCUAGACUCUAUCUAUGGUCAAUGGAGGCUGGUCCUGGAGGAGCUGCGGCAUGGACACGACGCAGGGUCGUCGAGCUCGAGCCGUUGCUCCCUCCUCGUGCCCUCUUGGACAUGUCGAGCUCGGAUGUGUGGACGGUUGGUUUUGCUGAAGGAGUUAGGGUAAUCUUCCUCAGAACUCCGGCUGGGUUGUAUGCAGUUGAGCUUAAUUCAGGCCGAGCCAACAAGAUGGGUGAAUUUAGCAUUGAAAAGGUCAUGCCCUACACGAGGUUCUGCAUUGGAGCAUGGGGCCGGUUGCCGGCCUCCGAUGAAGCCCCACACGCAGUUGCUGGUGGACGAUGA